rnacentral:rRNA from 1 species
GACGUAGGGCGCGAGCGUUGUCCGGAUUUAUUGGGCGUAAAGAGCUCGUAGGCGGCUUGUCGCGUCGACUGUGAAAACCCACGGCUCAACUGUGGGCUUGCAGUCGAUACGGGCAGGCUAGAGUUCGGUAGGGGAGACUGGAAUUCCCGGUGUAGCGGUGAAAUGCGCAGAUAUCAGGAGGAACACCGGUGGCGAAGGCGGGUCUCUGGGCCGAUACUGACGCUGAGGAGCGAAAGCGUGGGGAGCGAACAGG